AUUGAACGCUGGCGGCAGGCCUAACACAUGCAAGUCGAACGCGUGGCGGACGGGUGAGUCAUGUCUGGGAAACUGCCUGAUGGAGGGGGAUAACUACUGGAAACGGUAGCUAAUACCGCAUACCAUCGGAUGUGCCCAGAUGGGAUUAGCUAGUAGGUGGGGUAACGGCUAACCUAGGCGACGAUCCCUAGCUGGUCUGAGAGGAUGACCAGCCACACUGGAACUGAGACACGGUCCAGACUCCUACGGGAGGCAGCAGUGGGGAAUAUUGCACAAGGGGCGCAAGCCUGAUGCAGCCAUGCCGCGUGUAUGAAGAAGGCCUUCGGGUUGUAAAGUACUUUCAGCGGGGAGGCGUUACCCGCAGAAGAAGCACCGGCUAACUCCGUGCCAGCAGCCGCGGUAAUUC
rnacentral:rRNA from 1 species